GUGUGAGCACAGGGGCGCGCGCGUGAGGGGGGCUGGGGGUGGAGAGACGAAGCUGAGCCUGGAGAUAAUGAAGACCCUUUGUGAUGGAUCCAUGGGACCUCUUCCCACCGGACAGACUGGAGUCCCUAAGGGGUGAUUCUCAGGUAGAAGCCAAUAUUUCCUUCCAGAGAAGUGGUCUAUUGCUGGUUAGAGCGGCAUUUCAACUUGAUUGGCUUUGGAGUUUGCCCUGCAGAUUUGCAAAGCACACUUCUAGGUAUGUCUGGGAGGCUCAUGGAGGCAUGGUCUUGGAGUCUCUGUCUGCCCCCUCAUCUUUUGGAUCUGGGCUCUUUCUCUGCUCUGCUUCCUCACUACCACAAACUAAGCAGCUUCUUCUUGUCAUACUUUUCCAGUAUUAUUUCUAUGCCCUGGAGCCACCAGUCAAUUAUGGACUGGAACCAUGAGCCAAUUAAACCUCUCCUUUAAGUUCUGGGUGUUGGUUAUUAUGUCUCAGAAAAAGAGAAAGCUGACUAAAACAAAAAACUGGUACCAAAAAUGUUAGGUCAUUGCUGUGACUAUACCUGACCAUGUGAUUUAAAAGUCUUUGGAACUGGUUUGUGGGAGGACUUUGGAGAUGCAGACUAGAAAAGCCCAAGAAAGCUAUAAGCAGAGCCUGUUGGGUGAUUCUAGUCAAAGCUCAGAAGACCAGGAUUCUCACUGGAAUGCAGAGAGUAAAGGUCAAAGUUAGGAGGUUUCAGGUGGGAAUAAGGACUCCAUUGGCAAUGUUACACUGUAGCAGAGAAUAUGCAAAAGAUUGAUAGUGAGGGUUAUGAGUUAAUCUGGCAGAGGAAAUUUCAAAACAGCAUAACAUUCAGGCUGUGAAAUGGAUACUGCUGUUUUAGUCAGAUUUAGAGUGAGAAUCAGAGAUAAAAGGCAAAGCCAAUAAAUUUGAAAACCCUGAAUGAACCUUGUGUAAGGUUGGGGUUGGGGCAUCAAAGGAGGUCUGGGUGUGGAAGAGAUUGGUGCCAUUAAAAAGGAACCAAGCACUUUGUCUAGUGAUAAAAGGAAAGAUGAAUGAGUAGAUGUCAGAAAUCAGCAAGACCCCACCCACUGCAAGCUUAAACCUUUAAUUUUUUCUUUUAAGAUGGGUUCUUGCUGUGUAGUUCAUACUUGCUGUGAACUCACUAUGUAUCCCAGGCUGACCUGGAACUCUCAGUGAUCCUCCUGCCUCAGUAUCCCAAGUGCUGGGAUUACAGGCAUGUGCCACCAAGGCCAACUCAACCUUUCAUUUGAGAAGAGAGCCUCUGGACUCCCUUCUUCAGAAGGAUUGCUUAAGGAAUUGGUUCCCUGAGAUUCAUUUCACUCUGCUCAGUUAUUCAGAAAAUCAGCUGCUACCAUGUUCCAAGGGAGCAUGUCUAGGGUUCACACUGGCAGUAGAUCUUGGUUUCAUUCAUGUGAUACUGGUUUUACUGGCAUGCAGAAUGUAUGAGUCAUAGGAUCAGAAAGGCUCCCACCCAGAUUUUAAAGGAGGGCCUGGGAGGCCCUGAAAGGCAGUGUGUGAAGCUAUGAAAAUGAAGCUGAAGUUGGAGAGGCCAGCAAUGUAGAAUGUCUGCUGAGGAAAUCUACAGGUUGUAAGUAGAGCCAACCCCAGAGAGAGGACACAUGGACUGCAACCAGCAAGACCCAUGGGUAAAGCUGCUGAAAUCCUUUGGAACUCAUAUUUUAUGACCAUGUUCCCUGGAUGCCAGAUGUGAGGCUGCAGAACUUAAUGCUUACCUGACUGGGCU
ensembl:lincRNA